rnacentral:rRNA from 1 species
UACGUAGGGUGCAAGCGUUGUCCGGAAUUAUUGGGCGUAAAGAGCUCGUAGGCGGUUUGUCGCGUCGAAUGUGAAAACCCGGGGCUCAACCCCCGGGCCUGCAUUCGAAUACGGGGCAGACGUAGAGUGUGGUAGGGGAGAUCGGAAUUCCUGGUGUAGCGGUGGAAUGCGCAGAUAUCAGGAGGAACACCGGUGGCGAAGGCGGCUACCUGGCCCAUUCUUGACGCUGAGGCGCGAAAGCUAGGGGAGCAAACGGG